CGGCGUGCUUAACACAUGCAAGUCGAACGAACCUUCGGGUUAGUGGCGGACGGGUGAGUAACGCGUGAGAAUCUGCCCUCAGGAGGGGGAUAACAGCUGGAAACGGCUGCUAAUACCCCAUAUGCCGCGAGGUGAAAUGAAUUUCGCCUGAGGAUGAGCUCGCGUCUGAUUAGCUAGUUGGUGUAGGUAAUGGCUCACCAAGGCAUCGAUCAGUAGCUGGUCUGAGAGGAUGAUCAGCCACACUGGGACUGAGACACGGCCCAGACUCCUACGGGAGGCAGCAGUGGGGAAUUUUCCGCAAUGGGCGAAAGCCUGACGGAGCAACGCCGCGUGAGGGAUGAAGGCCUCUGGGCUGUAAACCUCUUUUAUCAAGGAAGAAGAUCUGACGGUACUUGAUGAAUAAGCCACGG
rnacentral:rRNA from 1 species